AGCCCAUGUACUGUGACGACACUUUCAUUGCGGACAACUCCGAUUUGAUACACAGCAGCAACAACUUUGAGGGAGACAUAUGAGGACCACAUCUGACACCUUUAUUGAGUCCUUUUUUUCAGCGCACAGCAGGAAUUCAGCAGUUUAAAAUCCUCCAAUAGACACUUCACAGAGUCUUCAUUUUUUCCAGUUGCUACUAAGGCUACAAUCCAUCUGGAUAUUCAACUUGGUGAGAUCCACCUAUUUAUUAUAUAAAGUGCACUAUUCUCUGGACUAUUGUACAUCAGGACAUUUACUAUCUGUACACUUUUUAUUUUUAUAUUUUUUCUCUUUUAUAUUUUUUCAAUUUUUCAUUAUUUUUCAUAUUUCUUUCAUUUUUUCAUUUUUUAUUCAUUUUUUCUUUUUUCUUUUUUCUAUGUACAUAGAACACCACAGAUUCAACUAUUAUCCAUAUGGAUAGGUUUUCCUUAGAUUUGCAAACAGG